rnacentral:rRNA from 1 species
UACGUAGGGGGCAAGCGUUGUCCGGAAUCAUUGGGCGUAAAGCGCGUGUAGGCGGUCCGGUAAGUCCGCUGUGAAAGUCGAGGGCUCAACCCUCGAAUGCCGGUGGAUACUGUCGGCUUGAGUACGGGAGAGGCGAGUGGAAUUCCUGGUGUAGCGGUGAAAUUCGUAGAUAUCAGGAGGAACACCAAUGGCGAAGGCAGCUCGCUGGGACGGUACUGACGCUGAGACGCGAAAGCGUGGGGAGCAAACAGG